GGUGCAGAUGAUGAAAAACUAGACAGGGACAUCAGAACUGUUAGGAGUAUCAAAUAUGAUGAUAUGUCUAAGAUGGGAAUCUCUUUGAUGCACU
rfam:Beta vulgaris subsp. vulgaris Bvchr5.sca022.con0085.1, whole genome shotgun sequence.